rnacentral:rRNA from 1 species
AUUGAACGCUGGCGGCAUGCCUAACACAUGCAAGUCGAACGGUAACGGGCCUUCGGGUUCCGACGAGUGGCGGCCGGGUGCGUAAUACAUCGGAAUGUGCCCGAUCCUGGGGGAUAAUGAGGCGAAACCUUUGCUAAUACCUCAUACGAUCUACGACUGAAAACAGGGGACCGCAAGGCCUUUCGGGGACGGAGGAGCUGAUGGGAGAUGAGGUAGUUGGUGGGAUUAAAGUUGACCAAGCCGACACACUGCGGCGGGCCUGGGAGGAGGAUCAGCCACACUGGGACUUGGAGACGCCCCAGACUCCUCCGGGAGGCGCAGGAGGGGAAUUUUGGCCAAUGGGGGCAAGCCUGAUCAAGCCAUGCCGCGUGCAGGAGAAGGGCGUUCGGGUGGUAAACUGCUUUUGUACGGAACAAAAAGCGUUCUUUGAAGACAGGAGGGUCAUGACGGUACCGUAAGAGUAAGCACCGGCUAACUACGUG